rnacentral:rRNA from 1 species
AUUACCCGCUGAACUUAAGCAUAUCAAUAAGCGGAGGAAAAGAAACCAACAGGGAUUGCCUUAGUAGCGGCGAGUGAAGCGCAAAAGCUCAAAUUUGAAAUCUGGCGUCUUUGGCGUCCGAGUUGUAAUUUGAAGAAGGUAUCUUUGGGGUUGGCUCUUGUCUAUGUUCCUUGGAAAAGGACGUCACAGAGGGUGAGAAUCCCGUGCGAUGAGAAGCCCGAUCCCGUGUAAAGUUCCUUCGAAGAGUCGAGUUGUUUGGGAAUGCAGCUCUAAGUGGGUGGUAAAUUCCAUCUAAAGCUAAAUAUUGGCGAGAGACCGAUAGCGAACAAGUACAGUGAUGGAAAGAUGAAAAGAACUUUGAAAAGAGAGUG